ensembl:snRNA U6 U6 spliceosomal RNA
GUGCUCGCUUCAGCAGCAUGGGUACUCAACUUGGAACGAUACAGACAAGUGGCCCCUGUGCAAGAUGCCACACAAAUUCAUGAAGGGUUCCAUAUUUUU